CAGAAGCUGCCAGCCUGGGGGAGCUCCCCCGGGCCGGGCAGGUGGUGAGAACUGUGGUACUGGGAGGGGAUACAGCAGCCGUGCUCAGAAGGGGGCACCACCUUUCAGGCCGUCUUCCAAGACCCCUGGUCCAGCCUGGGGAGCUGCUUCCACAUGCGGCAAGCACAGGGAUGGGCUGGCAGUGGUUCCAGGUGGACCCUGCCCCACUCCCCAGGUCCAAGCACCUGUGACCCUAGGGAGCGCUGGUCUGCCUGCCAGCUGGUGGCUGCCUACACCCACCUGUGUGCCCAGGACUCUGUGCCCUUGGUCCUUCCUCUGCGGUGUGGAAUGACAAGUGCUCAGCUCUGCAGUGAGCACAGAGGUCCAACAAAGCUAUGUGCAAAGCGGUUUUUAUGAAGAAAGAGCUGGCCUGGUUGUCAGGGACAGGAGGAAUGCUAAUUUGAGGCCAGCCUGGGCUACGUAGCAAAAAUCAAAUAGAACUGGAGAGAUGGCUCCAUGGUCCUCUUGCCGAGGAGCUGGGUUCAAUUCCAAGCACCCAUGUACCAGCUCACAACUGCCACCAGGGGAAUGGAUGGCCUGACGCCCCACCCCCCAUACAUGUAAAAUUAAAAAUUAAUAGUUUCUUAAAAAGAAAAGGAACCAAACAAAAAAGUCAGGAAAAUACAUUGGCUGAUAAUG
rnacentral:lncRNA from 1 species